UAGCGGGGGAUAACUAUUGGAAACGAUAGCUAAUACCGCAUAACAGUAGAUGUUGCAUGACAUUUACUUGAAAGGUGCAAAUGCACCACUACCAGAUGGACCUGCGUUGUAUUAGCUAGUUGGUGAGGUAACGGCUCACCAAGGCGACGAUACAUAGCCGACCUGAGAGGGUGAUCGGCCACACUGGGACUGAGACACGGCCCAGACUCCUACGGGAGGCAGCAGUAGGGAAUCUUCGGCAAUGGACGGAAGUCUGACCGAGCAACGCCGCGUGAGUGAAGAAGGUUUUCGGAUCGUAAAGCUCUGUUGUAAGAGAAGAACGAGUGUGAGAGUGGAAAGUUCACACUGUGACGGUAUCUUACCAGAAAGGGACGGCUAACUACGUGCCAGCAGCCGCGGUAAUACGUAGGUCCCGAGCGUUAUCCGGAUUUAUUGGGCGUAAAGCGAGCGCAGGCGGUUAGAUAAGUCUGAAGUUAAAGGCUGUGGCUUAACCAUAGUACGCUUUGGAAACUGUUUAACUUGAGUGCAGAAGGGGAGAGUGGAAUUCCAUGUGUAGCGGUGAAAUGCGUAGAUAUAUGGAGGAACACCGGUGGCGAAAGCGGCU
rnacentral:rRNA from 1 species